AAAAAAAAAACUCAUAACAUUUUUUUUAUUAAAUAACACUUAAAUAAAAUCUGAAAAUAUUUUUAGAAACCUAAAUACCAAAAUUGAAUAAUAAAAAUUAAACAAAAGAAAAAGGAAAAAGAUUUUCGUUCCUAACAGCCCUAACACUUCUCUAUCUAUUUCGCCUCCCCCCAAAUCCCAAUUUGCCGCGCCUUCCCUGAGUCCGCCGCGCCUUCAUCAAGCUCCCCCAGUCGCGCCUUCAUCCAGCUCCGUCUGCCUCCGUCGCGCCUUCGUUCUUGCUCCGGUGUGUUUUAUUGGCCGAGUGUGCGGCGGCGGCAGGCUAGGGUUUUCAAACCCUAGCUGUGAUGAAGAGAAGAAACGGGUCAAAAAGAUGGGCUAGGGUUUUCCAGACUCCAGUCUUCGCGCGCCUCCACGAUCUGCCGCGCCGCUUCCUUUUCAGACCGCCGUCCGUCUGUCCACUGGCAACUCACGCACACCGCACACGGUAAGCCCUCUCUUUCAGCUGGCCUGCAGCAUCUACAGUCCUCGAACAAUGCGGUUCCUCCAGCUCAGGAUUUUGGAUAUUACAAUGGAGGCGGUCAGGGUUCGAGAAUGUACAAGAGUGUGCAGGCGCAAAGGACGUACAGUGGAGGCGAUUUGUUUGCGGAGCCGUUGACGCUGCCAGGGCAUUCACGGGAAGAAUGGCGAGGAGCUGGUUUGGCCAAAUGAGAGUAGCCCGGGGCUAUUGGAUCUGCAUUCGUUUGACACUGAGCUACUUCCGGAGGUAGAUUUCUUGAUUUGAGAAGUGGAGUAGUUAUUUUUCGUUAAUCAGUAUAUGCUAGUUUGUGGGCGUCGGUUUUAUGGGUUAUGGUUGUAGUUUAUGUGGUAGGAAAUGAACUCUAUCUUACAUUGUGGAUAAAGUAGUAGCUUUAGCCGUCAUGUUCGAUGGUUUUGAUAGAAAUAGGGGUUGUUGUCAGAUGACUCCUGUCUAGCAAUGCAAUUUUAUGCUUUGUAUC